rnacentral:rRNA from 1 species
ACGGGAGGCAGCAGUAGGGAAUAUUGCACAAUGGGGGAAACCCUGAUGUAGCAACGCCACGUGUGGGAAGACGCAUUUCGGUGUGUAAACCACUGUCGUGAGGGAAUAAGGCUGAGUUUCGGCUCAGUUGAAUGUACCUCGAAAGGAAGCACCGGCAAACUUCGUGCCAGCAGCCGCGGUAAUACGAGGGGUGCAAGCGUUGUUCGGAAUCACUGGGCGUAAAGGGGGCGCAGGCGGAAGUGCAAGCGGUCUGUACAAUACCGGGGCCCCACCCCGGACCUGCAGACCGGACUGCAUUUCUUGGAUAGUUCAGGGGCAAGCGGAAUUCCUGGUGUAGCGGUGGAAUGCGUAGAAAUCAGGAAGAACGACGAUGGCGAAGGCAGCUUGCUGGGGAGUUAUCGACGCUCAUGCUCGAAAGUGCGGGUAGCAAACAGGAUUAGAUACCCUGGUA